GAUGUCGUUUUCUUUCUGCUGCGGGUGCUGAGGGAAGGGAAGGACUCUGAGAAUUGGAAGCACUGAGUUCUUAGUCCCGGUUCUGUCUGAAACUAACCAAGGCGAAGACGUAGUGAAAAGAGCCCGGGCUUGGGAGCCAGAGGACGUGGGGUGUCAUCUUGGCUCCGUCACUAGUCUGCCGGGUGACCUUAACUUUUCUGGGCCUCAGUAUCCUCAUCCGUAAAACCGGGAUUAAAUCGUACCCUUUUUUACUUCGACUCUGAGACCUGUGGGGGAAAGGCUGUAAGAGGAGGAGCAGGAGAACAGUGAAGAGACAGCGUGAUACAGCUAUUUGACACAGGACGUCCUUCGAAGAGUAUGUAGACGGAUCUGGCCGGAAAAAAACAGCUAAACAUUUGAUGUGAAGUUCCUUUUGACGUUAUUUCCUUCUCCUACUCACACCCCCCGGUUUUGGAUACACCUUCUAAGCUGAGUCCCUGGCUCAUAUUUUCUCAAAAUGCUCCUGGAACCGACUAGUUUAUUUACUAAAAGACAAGGAA